rnacentral:rRNA from 1 species
CCCUUAGAUGUUCUGGGCCGCACGCGCGCUACACUGAUGAAUUCAACGAGCACUAACCUGUGCCGAAAGGUUCGGGUAAUCUUGUGAAAUUUCAUCGUGAUGGGGAUUGAUUAUUGCAAUUUUUAAUCAUAAACGAGGAAUGCCUAGUAAGCGUGAGUCAUCAGCUCACGUUGAUUACGUCCCUGCUCUUUGUACACACCGCCCGUCGCUCCUACCGAUUGAAUGUGCCAGUGAAAAGUUAGGAUUGGGCGUGGGGGACGGCAACGUAUUCCACAUCCGAGAAAAUCUUUAAACUUUCCCAUUUAGAGGAAGGAGAAGUCGUAACA